GGCCAUGUGGUCUAGUGGUCUGAUGUUUGCUUCGGGUGCAAGAGGUCCUGGGUUCGAGUCCCAGCUUGGCCC
rnacentral:tRNA from 4 species